rnacentral:rRNA from 1 species
GACCUCGAAUCAGGUGGGACUACCCGCUGAACUUAAGCAUAUCAAUAAGCGGAGGAAAAGAAACUAACAAGGAUUCCCCUAGUAACGGCGAGUGAAGCGGGAUGAGCUCAAAUUUAAAAUCUGGUAGUCUUUGGCUGCCCGAGUUGUAAUCUAGAGAAGUGUUUUCCGCGCUGGACUGUGUACAAGUUUCCUGGAUACGGAACAUCAUAGAGGGUGAGAAUCCCGUCCUUGACACAGACUCCCAGUGCUUUGUGAUGCACUCUCAACGAGUCGAGUUGUUUGGGAUUGCAGCUCAAAAUGGGAGGUAAAUUCCUUCUAAAGCUAAAUAUUGGCGAGAGACCGAUAGCGAACAAGUACCGUGAGGGAAAGAUGAAAAGCACUUUGGAAAGAGAGUUAAACAGUACGUGAAAUUGUUAAAAGGGAAACGA